UAGCGUUCGAUCCUAGUGCAUAAUCAGCGCUGGCGGCGUGCCUAACACAUGCAAGUCGCACGCGAAAGUUCCUUCGGGGAUGAGUAGAGUGGCGUCCGGGUGAGUAACGCGUGGGUAAUGCGGACCUUCGGGUGGGGAAUAACCCAGGGAAACUUGGGCUAAUACCGCAUAAUGCAGCGGCUCGACAUCGAGACAGUUGUUAAAGCAGCAAUGCGCCUGAAUAGGAGCCCGCGUCUGAUUAGCCCGUUGGUGAGGUAAUGGCUCACCAAGGCUGCGAUCAGUAGCUGGUCUGAAAGGACGGCCAGCCANAAGGGCACGGAAACANGGGCCAUACUCCUGAGGGAGGCAGNAGUGGGGAAUCAGGCACAAGGGAGGGGACGCGGGAGCGAGGAGGCGGAGG
rnacentral:rRNA from 1 species